CCUACGGGAGGCAGCAGUGGGGAAUAUUGGUCAAUGGGCGCAAGCCUGACCCAGCAACGCCGCGUGAAGGAAGAAGGCUCUCGGGGUGUAAACUUUCUUUUAUAGGGAAGUGCAGAAGACUGUACCUCUUGAAUAAUCCACGGCUAACUACGUACCAGCAGCCGCCGCAAUACGGAGGUGGCAAGCGAUGUCCGGAUUUACUGGGUGUAAAGGGCGUGUAGGCGGGCUGACAAGUCAGAUGUGAAAUUCCGGGGCUCAAUCCCGGAAGUGCAUUUGAAACUGGUAGUCUUGUGUAUCGGAGAGGUGGGCGGAAUUCCUGGUGUAGCGGUGAAAUGCUUAGAUAUUAGGAAGAACACC
rnacentral:rRNA from 1 species